rnacentral:rRNA from 1 species
GACGAACGCUGGCGGCGUGCUUAACACAUGCCAGUCGAACGAGGACGCCCGAGCUUGCUCGGUCUGAUUAGUGGCGAACGGGUGAGUAACACGUGAGCAACCUGCCCUUCACUCUGGGAUAACCUCGGGAAAGCGGGGCUAAUACCGGAUAUGAGCUCCUGUCGCAUGGCGGGUGUUGGAAAGUUUUUCGGUGUAGGAUGGGCUCGCGGCCUAUCAGUUUGUUGGUGUGGUUGUGGCACACGAAGGCGAUGACGGGUAGCCGGCCUGAGUGGGCGACCGGCCACACUGGGACUGAGACACGGCCCAGACUCCUACGGGAGGCAGCAGUGGGGAAUAUUGCACAAUGGGCGAAAGCCUGAUGCAGCGACGCCGCGUGAGGGAUGACGGCCUUCGGGUUGUAAACCACUUUCAGCAGGGAAGAAGCGAAAGUGACGGUACCGGCAGAAGAAGCGCCGGCUAACUACGUG